rnacentral:rRNA from 1 species
AGAGUUUGAUCCUGGCUCAGGACGAACGCUGGCGGCGUGCCUAAUACAUGCAAGUAGAACGCUGAAGAGAGGAGCUUGCUCUUCUUGGAAGAGUUGCGAACGGGUGAGUAACGCGUAGGUAACCUGCCUUGUAGCGGGGGAUAACUAUUGGAAACGAUAGCUAAUACCGCAUAACAAUGGGUGACCCAUGUCAUUCAUUUGAAAGGGGCAACUGCUCCACUACAAGAUGGACCUGCGUUGUAUUAGCUAGUAGGUGAGGUAACGGCUCACCUAGGCGACGAUACAUAGCCGACCUGAGAGGGUGAUCGGCCACACUGGGACUGAGACACGGCCCAGACUCCUACGGGAGGCAGCAGUAGGGAAUCUUCGGCAAUGGGGGCAACCCUGACCGAGCAACGCCGCGUGAGUGAAGAAGGUUUUCGGAUCGUAAAGCUCUGUUGUAAGUCAAGAACGAGUGUGAGAGUGGAAAGUUCACACUGUGACGGUAGCUUACCAGAAAGGGACGGCUAACUACGUGCCAGCAGCCGCGGUAAUACGUAGGUCCCGAGCGUUGUCCGGAUUUAUUGGGCGUAAAGCGAGCGCAGGCGGUUUGAUAAGUCUGAAGUUAGAGGCUGUGGCUCAACCAUAGUUCGCUUUGGAAACUGUCAAACUUGAGUGCAGAAGGGGAGAGUGGAAUUCCAUGUGUAGCGGUGAAAUGCGUAGAUAUAUGGAGGAACACCGGUGGCGAAAGCGGCUCUCUGGUCUGUAACUGACGCUGAGGCUCGAAAGCGUGGGGAGCGAACAGGAUUAGAUACCCUGGUAGUCCACGCCGUAAACGAUGA